rnacentral:rRNA from 1 species
CCCCACUGCUAUCGGGAUAGGACUAAGACAUGCUAGUUGAGCGCUACCAAUGGCGCAGCGCACAGCUCAGUAACACGUGGCUAACCUGCCCUUGGGACGAGAACAACCCCGGGAAACUGGGGCUAAUUCGCGAUAGGUGAAGACUCUGGAAUGAGUCUUCGCCCAAAAGACUAUGGCCGCCCAAGGAUGGGGCCGCGGCCGAUCAGGUUGUUGGUGAGGUAAUGGCUCACCAAGCCUUUUACCGGUGCGGGCCGUGGGAGCGGGAGCCCGGAGAUGGGCACUGAGACAAGGGCCCAGGCCCUACGGGGCGCAGCAGUCGCGAAAACUUUGCAAUAAGCGAAAGCUUGACAGGGCUAUCCCGAGUGCCAUCCGCUGAGGAAGGCUUUUACCCAGUCUAGAACGCUGGGGGAAUAAGGAGAGGGCAAGUCUGGUGUCAGCCGCCGCGGUAAUACCAGCUCUCCGAGUGGUGUGGAUGUUUAUUGGGCCUAAAGCAUCCGUAGCUGGCUAGGUUAGUCCCCUGUUAAAUCCACCGAAUUAAUCGUUGGAUUGCGGGGGAUACUGCUUGGCUAGGGGACGAGAGAGGCAGACGGUAUUUCCGGGGUAGGGGUGAAAUCCUAUAAUCCCGGGAAGACCACCAGUGGCGAAGGCUGUCUGCUAGAACGCGCCCGACGGUGAGGGAUGAAAGCUGGGGGAGCGAACCGGAUUAGAUACCCGGGUAGUCCCAGCUGUAAACGAUGCAGACUAGGUGUUUGGACGGCCACGUGCCGUUCUAGUGCCGCAGGGAAGCUGUUAAGUCUGCCGCCUGGGGAGUACGAUCGCAAGAUUGAAACUUAA